CAUGGUUGUCGUCAGCUCGUGUCGUGAGAUGUUGGUUAAGUCCCGCAACGAGCGCAACCCCUAUUGUUAGUUGCCAUCAUUCAGUUGGGCACUCUAGCGAGACUGCCGGUAAUAAACCGGAGGAAGGUGGGGAUGACGUCAAAUCAUCAUGCCCCUUAUGACCUGGGCUACACACGUGCUACAAUGGUUGGUACAACGAGUUGCGAGUCGGUGACGGCGAGCUAAUCUCUUAAAGCCAAUCUCAGUUCGGAUUGUAGGCUGCAACUCGCCUACAUGAAGUCGGAAUCGCUAGUAAUCGCGGAUCAGCACGCCGCGGUGAAUACGUUCCCGGGCCUU
rnacentral:rRNA from 1 species